rnacentral:misc_RNA from 1 species
GAGAUUUUGGAUUGCUGGUGGUGGCUUGCGAGACAGUUCUUGCGCCCACCGGCUCUCCGCAUACCAAACAACGUGAACAACCGGUGACGGCCCUGCCGUUGCCACCUUUACAACUGUCGUCCUAUGUCUUGAAAGUAAACAAAAGAGUA